rnacentral:rRNA from 1 species
UAAGGACGUCCACUUAACUUGGAGUCCGAACUCUCACUUUCUAACCCUGUGCACUUGUUUGGGAUAGUAACUCUCGCAAGAGAGCGAACUCCUAUUCACUUAUAAACACAAAGUCUAUGAAUGUAUUAAAUUUUAUAACAAAAUAAAACUUUCAACAACGGAUCUCUUGGCUCUCGCAUCGAUGAAGAACGCAGCGAAAUGCGAUAAGUAAUGUGAAUUGCAGAAUUCAGUGAAUCAUCGAAUCUUUGAACGCACCUUGCGCUCCAUGGUAUUCCGUGGAGCAUGCCUGUUUGAGUGUCAUGAAUACUUCAACCCUCCUCUUUCUUAAUGAUUGAAGAGGUGUUUGGUUUCUGAGCGCUGCUGGCCUUUACGGUCUAGCUCGUUCGUAAUGCAUUAGCAUCCGCAAUCGAACUUCGGAUUGACUUGGCGUAAUAGACUAUUCGCUGAGGAAUUCUAGUCUUCGGAUUAGAGCCGGGUUGGGUUAAAGGAAGCUUCUAAUCAGAAUGUCUACAUUUUAAGAUUAGAUCUCAAAUCAGGUAGGACUACCCGCUGAACUUAAGCAUAUCAAAAAGGGGGGAA